rnacentral:tRNA from 1 species
GCAACAUACCAAGUGAUUUUGAAAGUCAUAACAGGUAGUUAAUCUUACCAUGUUGUU